rnacentral:tRNA from 1 species
GGGCCCAUAGAUCAGUGGAAGAUCGCCGUCUUCGCAAGGCGGAGGCCGUGGGUUCAAAUCCCACUGGGUCCA